UAGGGAAUCUUCCACAAUGGGACGGAAGUCUGAUGGAGCAACGCCGCGUGAGUGAAGAAGGGUUUCGGCUCGUAAAACUCUGUUGUUAAAGAAGAACAUAUCUGAGAGUAACUGUUCAGGUAUUGACGGUAUUUAACCAGAAAGCCACGGCUAACUACGUGUCAG
rnacentral:rRNA from 1 species